UGGGGAAUAUUGGACAAUGGGGGAAACCCUGAUCCAGCAAUGCCGCGUGAGUGAUGAAGGCCUUAGGGUUGUAAAGCUCUUUUACCCGGGAAGAUAAUGACUGUACCGGGAGAAUAAGCCCCGGCUAACUCCGUGCCAGCAGCCGCGGUAAUACGGAGGGGGCUAGCGUUGUUCGGAAUUACUGGGCGUAAAGCGCACGUAGGCGGCUUGGUAAGUUAGAGGUGAAAGCCUGGAGCUCAACUCCAGAAUUGCCUUUAAGACUGCGGAGCUAGCAGGUGAGAGAGGUGAGUGGAAUUCCGAGUGUAGAGGUGAAAUUCGUAGAUAUUCGGAAGAACACCAGUGGCGAAGGCGGCUAACUGGUCCAGCACUGACGCUGAGGUGCGAAAGCGUGGGGAGCAAAC
rnacentral:rRNA from 1 species